rnacentral:rRNA from 1 species
AUGUCCUGGGAGCGCAUGAUAAAGCCAAAAGGAGGAGGUGGCAUCAGUUUUAAAGAUAUGAAGCUCUUCAACCAAGCACUGCUCGCACGACAAGCCUGGAGGUUGAUUCUAAGGCCGGAUAGCUUGUGCGCAAGAGUUCUUAAAUCCAAGUACUACCCGUGUGGUGAACUAUUGGAUACGGUGUUUGCAACGAAUGCCUCUCCGGUUUGGCGGGGAAUUGAACAUGGGCUUGAGCUUCUCAAGGCGGGUCUUGUUUGGAGGAUCGGUAAUGGAAGGAAGGUCAGCAUUCAACGGGAUCAAUGGAUCCCGCAGGAGGAAGGACUGAAACCUGCACAAUUCAUUCGGCGCUCCAGAUUAAGAUGGGUUAAUCAGUUGAUGAAUGCCGACGACAGCGGUUGGAACUCGGAGUUAAUCCAUCAACUGUUUUUUAGUUUUGAUGCCGAAGCGAUUUGCAAUAUCAAAAUCCCAGUAUCUGAGGCGGAGGACAUGGUGGCGUGACACUAUGAGAAAUCGGGUACCUUCACUGUCUGGAGUGCGUACAGACUGGCGGCAUCUCUCCAAAUCCAGGAAAACAGGCCAGCUUCGAGUUCCACAAAUUCAGGCGAUGACCGUAGCAUCUGGGAUAUCAUUUGGAAAGCCAAGGUCCCUGAAAAAAUUAAGAUUUUUGGGUGGAGAAUAGCUACAAAUACCUUACCGACCAAAUUGAACAAAUGGAAACGUACUCUAGAAGUUGACAACACCUGCAAUAUUUGUGGCAACGGAGAGGAAGAUGAAUAUCAUGCGGUAAUUUCCUGUACAAAAAGUAAGGCCUUAAGAAGCGAAAUGCGGAAAGUCUAG